rnacentral:lncRNA from 1 species
UUGAAAUUUAUUUGCAAAUAAACUCAUUCAUUGGUUUCAUCUAGCUUAUUAUCCAAUUUCUAAUAACUUGGUUUGAGAGGUAAAACUUUUAAACAAGUUACAAACUACAAAAUAAUCUUCUCAUAAGCUGUUUCUGAAUUUAUUGCAGAUAUACACCGAUGCAAGUAAUGCCAUUUUGACAUUAACUUCAAAUGCCACACUUUUGCUUUGG